rnacentral:lncRNA from 1 species
UUGUGUGAAGGAGCCAUGCAUUCACCCUCCCUCCCACCUUACCCUAAAUGGAAGAGGACAUCCUUCUAGGUAGUACUGAUUAAGAAGUGUGCCUUUUUCUUUUGAAACACAGGAGUUCUUUCUUGCCAAACUUCGGUUGUUCUUGUGUUCUAGUCUUUUAUUUUCCUACUUGUUUUUAAUGAUAUCUAGCCAGUGACUGAUGUUUCUCAUGGUUGGAAAGUAUAAUUAAAGACACCUGUAUGUCAUACACAGUAUAGAAUCAUUUCCAUAAUUCUUUGCACAUUAUUGAUGAAUUCACAGCAGUGAUUUGUCUCAAGAGAAGCAAAUUGCAUCUGAUUUCACUGGUCUUCUCGUUUGUACUGUGCCUGCUUCACGCUGUUCUGCUAAAAAAGGCCCUAAAUUAAGUAAAAUUUGUUUGCUGGCUCUAUUGCCUCCUGUCACAGUCUAAGGAGAUCUACUGUUGAUAUAUUAUUUAUUUGUUUUUAGAUCAAGAGAGUUUGUGAGAUUCUGUACGCUUGGGACACCAUACAAAGUGGGUGUCAUCCCACUCCUUACUUUUGGCAAUAAAGGCUUACGUUUGAAAAUGCUCCUUACAAAAGAUCAACACGAAGGUAUUUUCUUUUUUUUCCAGCAGAAUAAAACUUCUUCCAUCCUAGCUGAAAACUGUGUUGCUUUUUUAAAAACUCUGCAUAGAUCUGAGUGAAAAGAUGAGAACCAUAUACAAGGUGUACCUUUCAGACUUCCAACAAAAUGAGGCCUUAAAGUCAGUCCCAACAGCCUGAGUUAUAAAAAAUGAUUUGCUGCUGAAGUGACUGGAGGUCUGCAGAGAAUAACUUUGUUCUUAUGUUCCAAGCAGAUUUUCAGACAGAUUAAAGGAGAUUCCCUUGAGUAAUGUGCCACACAUCAUGGCACAUUCAACAGAUCAGUGGAUGCCCUUGAUACCACAGAUGAAG